CCUACGGGUGGCAGCAGUGGGGAAUAUUGCACAAUGGGGGAAACCCUGAUGCAGCGACGCCGCGUGAGUGAAGAAGUAUCUCGGUACGCAAAGCUCUAUCAGCAGGAAAGAAAAUGACGGUACCUGACUAAUAAGCCCCAGCUAACUACGUGCCCGCAGCCGCGGUAAUACGUAGGGGGCAAGCGUUAUCCGGAUUUACUGGGGGUAAGGGGAGAGUAGACGGCGCUGCAAGUCCGGAGGGAAAGCCCAUGGCUUAACCAUGGUACUGCUCUUGAAACUGUGGAGCUGGAGUGCGGGAGGGGCAGGCGGAAUUCCUAGUGUAGCGGUGAAAUGCGUAGAUAUUAGGAGGAACACCGGAGGCGAAGGCGGCCUGCUGGACCGUAACUGACGUUGAGGCUCGAAAGCGUGGGGAGCAAACAGGAUUAGAUACCCUGGUAGUC
rnacentral:rRNA from 1 species